CACGUGGGUAACCUGCCCCGAUCACCGGGACAACUCGAGGAAACUCGGGCUAAUACCGGAUGUGCUCUCCUCACAUCAGUGAGGUGAUGAAAGGUAGCUUCGGCUUCCGGAUUGGGAUGGGCCCGCGGCCCAUUAGCUUGUUGGUGGGGUAACGGCCUACCAAGGCGACGAUGGGUAGCUGGUCUGAGAGGACGAUCAGCCACACUGGGACUGAGACACGGCCCAGACUCCUACGGGAGGCAGCAGUGGGGAAUCUUGCGCAAUGCGCGAAAGCGUGACGCAGCAACGCCGCGUGCGGGA
rnacentral:rRNA from 1 species